rnacentral:piRNA from 1 species
UGAGUGUGCUACUCAAAUAGAUAACUUGGGA